GCGACGCCCGUCCGCGGUCCGUCUCCAUGGCGCGGGGCGGCCCUGACUCCGCGCCGCCGUCGCGUCCUCGUCCUCCCUCCCGCACAUCGGCCACCUCCACGGCCUCCUCGUCCGCCUCCACCUCCCGUCGCCGUCAGCCCCGUUCCUCCUCUCCAGCCUGCUCCACCGACUCGCCGCGCUCCCGCUCCCGCCCGCCCGCGCGCACGCCGCUACGCCGUCGCCGUAUUCUUCUCUCCUCGCCGCCGCGCUGCUCCGCUUCGCGCACCUCACUCAGCCGCGCCUGGAGACCGUCCGCCUCUUCACCUGCGUCCGCCACGGCCGGUGUCGCUCCUCCGAUAAGCAUCGGUUUGUUGAGAACUCGUUGAUCGGUGCGUACGUCGCGUGCGGCGAUGUUGGUGCCGCGGGUAAGGUGUUUCACGAAAUGACGGUGAAGGAUGUCAUUUCGUGUACAAGCAUUGUGGCAGCGUAUUCUAGGAGCCGUGAUAUGGGUUCAGCUGAGGAGGUGUGUGCGCUCUGGUGAAGGAUAUGGUGGCGUGGACGGCAAUGGUGACGGCGUAUGCACAGAAUGCCAUGCCAGUGAAGGCACUGGAGCCAUUUGAGCAGAUGGAGGUGGCCGGCAUGCCCAUUGAUGAAGCUUCACUCACCGGUGCAAUCUGCUCAGCUCGGUGCGGUGAGGCGAGACGCCUGGGUUCAGGGAAUUGUAGAAUGGAAUGGUCUUGGGAGGAAUGCAGUUGUCGGGUCGGGUUCUUUGCUGGUGAUAAUACACACCCAUGGAUGCAUGAAAUAUAGAAUAAGAUUAUUGGAGCUACGGGCAAAAUUGAAUCUUGCAAGUUAUGUGCCAGUCCUUAGUUCAGUUGUUUAUAACGUAAGUGAGGAAGAGAAAGAAAGGUUGUCAAUGGGUCAUAGUGAGAAGCUUGCUCUGUCAUUUGGAUUUGCUCAAACUCGAGUCUAGAUCCUCAAUUAGGAUAGUAAAGAAUCUAAGGAUAUGUGAGGACUGCCAUUUGUUUAUAAGAUUGGUGUCAAAAGUUGGGCCCAUCGAGAUUAUAGACAGGGACAACUUGAGAUCCCAUCAUUUCGAAGAUGGAGAAUGCUCAUGCAGUGGAUUCUGGUGAAUGCAUGAUAUGGAUUUUGUUAAAAAAAUAAACAUGGGUGAAUAAACCAUUAAGGGCCCGUUCGUUUACUCCAGAACCGUUCCACGACAACCAUUCCGGUUGGAAUGAUAAGUUUAUUUGUACUAGUAUUGAUUAGUUGGAAUAGUUCCUAGCCACAAUCCGAGCUAACCGAACAAGGCCUAAACCUUCACCGACAACAGUUCCUUGUCCGGCUUAUUUAUCUGACUUGGUUUCCAAUAUAGGAAGGUCAACUCUGAACAGCAGAGCAAAGCUUAGAACACUGCUUAUGAAUUCAAAGCAAUUGAGUGAUGGCAAUCUUUGUUUGCAAUGAAGAGCUAAACAUCUGGUGACAGAUCUAUUCGGUAAUGCAUGGGUAAUGAGGAAGUCAGUGUUUGAUUGCAAAAGUGGACACACUGAUUUGAAAAAAUAUAUAUAUACUUAAAAGCAUGGACCAUGGAGUGCCCACAGUACAAAUGCAAAUUGCAAAACAUCAAUCAUGAUGGGUAAUUGAAAAACACUAAGUAUACUGCUGAAUGUGACUAUAUAAUUAUUGGUGUAUGAGAACUGAAAGGGAUUGUUUGGUUCUUUCAAAUUCAAUACUUACCUAAUGUUUUUUCUUAUCACUUUUGCUCUGAAACUCAAAAUUAUGCACAAGGCAAGCAAGACCUGAAUUGUUACCAAUCCUUUACUUGCCAUAACAUUAGUGCAGUCCUAUCCUACCCAUAGCAAGCAUUGGGACCUUUGAGGUUCUACAUUUUUGGCAUACUAAAGAAUUCUGAUUGAAAUCUGGUGGAAGCCUUUCUGGGCUUUGUUUCUGUUUUUGGCCAAGGCGCCCGCCAUAGGAGCUAGAAGUGUAUUUUUCUUGAGACCUGUAUUUCCACAAAUCCACAUGCCAUUUUUAAUGGAGGCUUCAGCUUUCUCAGCAUAUGAAACUCUAGUGUGCUGUGUUUUGCUUCUCCUGCCCCCAAACUGAAUGAUCAGAUAUUUACUAGCUUGCUCUCAUCGAUGCUGGCCAGAAGGGUUUCUUUCCCUGCUUCCUGAGAAUAGCCAGCGCGGUGUUUCUGGUGAAUGUGAGCUGGGGCCGAUGCUCAGUUUGAGGUCAAGAUCACUCUCUACAGCGGCGCUCCAGCUUUCAUCUUCAACUGAUUUAUGGUUCUCCCCGUGAAACCUUUCUUUGGCUGCUGAGUUUUCUUCACCGAAGAGGCUGAGGCAGUUCACCGGCUUGCAUUCAUGGAGACUCAAAUCUUCUUGUACUUGCUGCGGAGCUGGGUAUUGUGCAUUACCAAGGAGAGCAGAUUGGUUUGUCCCUGAGGUAGAAGGACUGCACUUGAGGUUCGACCUUGAUCCCUGCACCACUUCAUGAGUUCCUUCUGCUCUCGGUUGAUACCUAUGGCUAUCGCAUUCAGCCAUCAAUGUUUUUUGUACAUGGUACAAACGAUGCAGCUCAUGCACCUGAUGCAAAGAAGCAGUAUCAGUAUCAGAUGCAAAAGUUCUUGUUGCAUGGAUGACAAGACAACUUAGGUCUGACUAACAACUGGUCGUCAACUUAUCACUAGAAAGAUGGAGGUAUUACGCAGCUAAGUAGUAGUGUGCUACAAUAUAUUACAGAACUGGAGCAGUCUGUUAGCUUCUCGUCGUCUAUGUGUGCAAAUAUACCUCACAAAUUAUGGUGCUGCUUGCUACGUACCUGCUGCCUGAAGACCUUAUCAUGCUCCACGAUUGUUCUCCGAAUCGAGUCCUUGCUGUCCUGUUUGCACUGCUCGUCCAUUGGGUCUUCCCAGGGUGGAGAGGAUUCUGUGAACACGAAGCAAAUCAACAGCCAUACCUGAAACAUCCAGUCUGAAAGGUCAUAGCCCCCGGGCAGUGCCCAUACGUCGCAGGGACGCAGAACGGGAGGAAGCUCGCGCGGCUCUAUCCUCAGAACCCAUUACUCAUCUCAGAGCCCAGCUGUGGGAGAGUUCCGAGCAAGAUACUUCGUCGCUCUAUCUCUCGUCCUUCCUUGCGCUUAUGAAGCCAACAGCCAACAGCAAACAAGAGACGCCGAGCAGAAGUGAAGAAAAAAAGCUAGUGAUGAUGCGAUGGUCGGCAGGCUUGAAGGGUAAGCAGCAGGGUACAGCGAGGGCGGCAACGCAGAAGGAUGAGGAGCUGUGGAGAUCGUUUAGUUAGCGGGAGGCACGCUGCGCGUCGAUAUUUGUUUAUCGAGCUCGAGGAAAGAUCAGGGAAAGUGCAGCCAGCGGGCCAAUCGGAGAGCCAAAUCUGGUUGGGUUAAUGAAACAAGAAGCCGGCCUAAAGAACAUGUGAAGCAGAUAUGCCACGCAGGUUUUGCCGGGAUUAAAGAUAUCAGGGGGGGUUUUUGUACUUGGUAGACAUCUGAUAGAUAGAUGAGCUAGGCCAGGCCAGUACAUGCUUGUAGUUUGCAGUAGAGAUCUGAAGAUACCAGGGGGCCCCACAGCCACGAGUUAUCUAUCAAUCCUAGGCUCUGUCCAUCACUCCAUCCUCACUACUACAGUCCCCAACUGUGGGAUCAGCAUCAGAAAAGUAAGUUGCCGUUUAGGCUUCCAUGUGCGUUGCAGAUCGCUUACUUUGUGUGCGUGUUUAGCCUGGGGGGCACUUGGACAUGUUGCUCUGCUGCAUGCUCUCCGUCACUGCCCCUUGCCUUCCCAGUAUUCUUGGACGGCUGGAUCUCAAAACCAUGAUCUUGUUUAAUUCGUCCAUACCCACCGACACAGGUACUAAACUAAAAAACAACCCCCUCUUUCUGAUUCA